GAUGAACGCUGGCGGCGUGCCUAAUACAUGCAAGUCGAGCGAACAGCUACGGAGCUUGCCCCUUAGACGUUAGCGGGGGAAGGGUGAGUAAAACGUGGGUAACCUCCCUCUAAGACUGGAAUAAAACCGGGAAAACGGAGCUCAUGCAGGGUAAACUUUAGAACCGCAUGGUUCUAAAGUGAAAGAUGGUUUUGCUAUCACUUAUACUAGGACUCGUGCCGUAUUAGCUAGUUGGUAAGGUAACGGCUUACCAAGGCUACGAUACGUAGCCGACCUGAGAGUGUGCGCGGCCACAGUGGAACUGAGACACGGUCCAGUCUCAUACGGGGGGCAGCAGUGGGGAAUCUUGCGAAAGGGGCGAGAGCCUGACGGAGCAGCGGCGCGUGAGUGAUGAAGGUCUUCGUAGCGUAGAUCUCUUUUAUGAGAGAAGAAGAAAUGUGUAAAAAAGUGUGAACGUCUGGACGUUACCUAAUCAGAAAGCCACGCCUAACUACGU
rnacentral:rRNA from 1 species